GUCUCUUUGGUCUAAUGGUUAGGACGUUGCCUUUUCACGGCGGGAAUAUGGGUUCAAUUCCCAUAAGAGAUU
rnacentral:tRNA from 1 species